CCUACGGGAGGCUGCAGUGGGGAAUAUUGGACAAUGGGGGGAACCCUGAUUCAGCCAUGCCGCGUGUGUGAAGAAGGCCCUCGGGUUGUAAAGCACUUUCAGUGAGGAAGAACGCCUGGUGGUUAAUACCCAUCAGGAAAGACAUCACUCACAGAAGAAGCACCGGCUAACUCCGUGCCAGCAGCCGCGGUAAUACGGAGGGUGCGAGCGUUAAUCGGAAUUACUGGGCGUAAAGCGCGCGUAGGUGGCUUGAUAAGCCGGUUGUGAAAGCCCCGGGCUCAACCUGGGAACGGCAUCCGGAACUGUCAAGCUAGAGUGCAGGAGAGGAAGGUAGAAUUCCCGGUGUAGCGGUGAAAUGCGUAGAGAUCGGGAGGAAUACCAGUGGCGAAGGCGGCCUUCUGGACUGACACUGACACUGAGGUGCGAAAGCGUGGGUAGCAAACAGGAUUAGAUACCCGAGUAGUC
rnacentral:rRNA from 1 species